GUCUAUGGCCAUACCACCCUGAACUUGCCCGAUCCUGUCUGAUCUUGGAAGCUGAGCAGGGUCAGGCCUGGUUAGUACUUGGAUGGAAGAAAGCAGUGGUCAAACU
rnacentral:rRNA from 1 species